AAAAUGUAAAGAACAUAUAUCAUGCGAAGUAGCGUCAGACGGGGAAUUGGUAUGUUGCAAGUUCUACCAGUUCAUCGUCUGACGUUUAAGUUCCCAUGAACCUUCAUCAGGACAAAAG
rnacentral:precursor_RNA from 12 species